AUGUUUGAGCAAUUUAGACAAAUGUUGUAUGAGUGCGGUGCAUAUCAGGUUGAGGAAAUCGACAAAGGAAAAAAUUACAUUGCAAUACAUACCGAUGCAGCGCGGAGGGAAAAGUGGUGUAAAACGUCAUACAAGGUAUCGGUUAUGGAAGGAGGGGAUGAGUUUGACUGUGAGUGUGGUCAGUUUGCACACAUGGGCCUGCUCUGCAGCCACAUCCUAAAGGUGAUUUACAUGUCCUGUUUAUCAUGA
rnacentral:rRNA from 1 species